rnacentral:lncRNA from 1 species
UUCCGAUCUAUUUAGAGUUCGGGUUCUUUUGAGAGAUUUUCUUUGUACUUCGCCUUUUCGACAUUAAUAAAGUAUUUGCUCCGUCUUCGCCCGUGGACGUAGGCCGUUGGCCGAACCACGUAAAUAUCGGUGUGCUAUUUUCUUUUCUUUUUAUUUCCUGCAUUAAAUUAUUUUCUGAAUCUAUUUUUCGCCGUUCCGAUUUUAACAAAAACAAGCAUCCUUUCACUGAAGGACACAACCCUAAACUUAAACAAA